GGUGAGUGGUGCAGGUGUCGCUCAUUAUCAAUUACUCCACCGGCCUCGCUCCGUUCCCACAACUCUCGGCCCCGUCCCCACUCGUCACAACAAUAGUAAGUAAGUUUUUGAAUGUUAA